GACGAACGCUGGCGGCGUGCUUAACACAUGCAAGUCGAACGGAAAGGCCCUGCUUUUGUGGGGUGCUCGAGUGGCGAACGGGUGAGUAACACGUGAGUAACCUGCCCUUGACUUUGGGAUAACUUCAGGAAACUGGGGCUAAUACCGGAUAGGAGCUCCUGCUGCAUGGUGGGGGUUGGAAAGUUUCGGCGGUUGGGGAUGGACUCGCGGCUUAUCAGCUUGUUGGUGGGGUAGUGGCUUACCAAGGCUUUGACGGGUAGCCGGCCUGAGAGGGUGACCGGCCACAUGGGGACUGAGAUACGGCCCAGACUCCUACGGGAGGCAGCAGUGGGGAAUAUUGCACAAUGGGCGGAAGCCUGAUGCAGCAACGCCGCGUGCGGGAUGACGGCCUUCGGGUGUAAACCGCUUUCGCCUGUGACGAAGCGUGAGUGACGGUAAUGGGUAAAGAAGCACCGGCUAACUACGUG
rnacentral:rRNA from 1 species